rnacentral:lncRNA from 1 species
GUCUCAGAGAGAGAGGGGCUUCAAGUGUGUGUGUGAGAGAGAUGAAGCAAAGGAAAAUAAAAGGGAUAGGUCAAUAAUAUACAGAAGCAAAUCUGUGUCAAAAUCAGAAAUAAGAAAGUGUGAAAAGUUUAAUACUGCCAAAAAUGAGAAAUAGCCAGAUUAUUAGAAAAUCUGGAAGUAAAGUUUGUACGUGAAGUGCAAAUAUUACUCAAAUAUAUAUUAGAACUUAGAAAACAAAAACUUACAAAAAUUGGGUAGAGAAAUGCACGUAAAAAAAAUAAAAUGAGCCCAGAGAAGAAGCGAACAUCAGGUAUAAAAGUAAUAUGCAGCAACAAGGAAGCAAACAUUUGAGAAAUCUAACAAUGUGGAAAGGUGGGAAUAUGUCAGAACCUCAAGGAGAAAUUUGUUUUUGGAAAGGCACAAUCUCUUUUUGAAGCAGGAGAACAGGAAAACAUGGUAAGUGAGGUAAAUUAUAUUUUAAGAGUGGUGAGACUCUUAAAGAUAAGUGAGGUAAAUUAUAUUUUAAGAGUGGUGAGACUGAGGAAGGUUAUGCCAGAUGACCUCCAUCCUCAAUAAAUUAUGUAGGAUACUUCUCUAUUGAAAGAGAAAAAUGAGACUGAAAAUGACGUUGAAAUAAAGGGUUGGGAAAAAAUAGACAAAUUUAAAAUACUUCUACAGAGACAGAAUCAAUAUGAGAUAAAUAAAAGAAUUGCUGGCUAGAGGUUAAGAGUUAGGAGACUCAAUAUCAUGUUAUUAUACUGGGUACCUGUUACAUGUUUCCACGAACAUUUCCAGUAGUAUCAGGCUGAAUGAGAACAAGAAAAGCAUGAAGACUCAGGCAGGAAACUGGCUUGGAGAGCACUAUUUUUUUUUUUUUGUUUACUUGUGUAAAUUUAAUUAUCUAAAUCUGUACUCUAUUGGCACUUCCUUUUAGAUGUUUGCUUUCAAUGGUUGGUUACCCUCCUAUCUCUCUAGUUUCUUGGAUGAUGAAUGGAAAACAAACAAAAAAUGUAGUGUGAUAAUGUGUCUACGUUUUGUUUAAGUCUGUAAAGGUCUUGCUAUGCUUUGCAUGUAGAAAGAGAGAAGACUGCUUUCACCCUAACAAUGAGAAAGAGACAAAUAAUCUGCAAAAUUAUAACUUUACUUGAGCCCAUCAGAAAUAGGAGGUACCAAGGCAACCAAAUAAACUGAACUGGAAAGUGUGACAAGUCACUGCUAAGAGAAAUGAGACAGGAACUUUUCACCUUUGGAGGAUCAUGGGAAAAAGUUAGUUGUUAUACAAGAAAAUGAGAAAAAGGAAGGUGGCCAAAAAUUAACUAAUUUUUAAAAGCCAAGAGUGGGGCAGUAUGACAACUUGGAAAAAGGGGGAGCGAAACUCAACAUGAAUUUACAGCCUUCCAAAAGGGGCUCACAGGAAGAAUUGAAGCAAGGCAAAACAAAACAAAGAAAGCUCUUCUCCAUGAUACAGGGUGCAGGAGGUGAUUGGCUGCUGUGAGAGAAGGACACAAAGCCACGCCCACUUCCCUCAUAACUUUCUCAUUGGAGCAAAAACUUUAGGCUACUGGUGAAGGGCAGCUAACUCUCCAGCUCCCAGGGCCAGUGAAAACUCCAUUGCUUUUGUGAGAUAGGAGUGAGGGGAAGGAAUACACACCUCUUUGUGGGGAAAGAUAAGAACACUCUCACUAACAGCAUGUACAAAGAAAAGUUGGAAUUGUAACAGGACCUUCCGGAUGUGAAACAUGCUAGGUCACCAUGUUAUGGUGGUAGAUUGUCCUGGGAGGCAGAGUUGGCUUCUUGAUUCCACCUCUGCUGCAUGCCAACAAGGUGACAUUGGAUAGGGGCCUCAGUUCACUGGUCUAUAAAAAAAAAAA